ACGCACGCUGGCGGCGUGCCUAAUACAUGCAAGUAGCACGCUGAAGGAGGAGCUUGCUCUUCUGGAUGAGUUGCGAACGGGUGAGUAACGCGUAGGUAACCUGCCUGGUAGCGGGGGAUAACUAUUGGAAACGAUAGCUAAUACCGCAUAACAGUAGAUGUUGCAUGACAUUUGCUUAAAAGGUGCAAUUGCAUCACUACCAGAUGGACCUGCGUUGUAUUAGCUAGUUGGUGGGGUAACGGCUCACCAAGGCGACGAUACAUAGCCGACCUGAGAGGGUGAUCGGCCACACUGGGACUGAGACACGGCCCAGACUCCUACGGGAGGCAGCAGUAGGGAAUCUUCGGCAAUGGACGGAAGUCUGACCGAGCAACGCCGCGUGAGUGAAGAAGGUUUUCGGAUCGUAAAGCUCUGUUGUAAGAGAAGAACGAGUGUGAGAGUGGAAAGUUCACACUGUGACGGUAUCUUACCAGAAAGGGACGGCUAACUACGUG
rnacentral:rRNA from 1 species